GAUGAACGCUAGCGGCGGGCCUAAUACAUGCAAGUUGAACGGGAUUGUUGGUAGCAAUAUUGACAUGAGAGUGGCGCACGGGUGCGUAACACGUAUGUAACCUACCUUUAACUGGGGCAUAGCUUCGAGAAAUCGAAAUUAAUACCCCAUAACAUUUAGAAAAGGCAUCUUUUCUUUAUCAAAGCUCAGGCGGUUAAGGAUGGACAUGCGGUGCAUUAGCUUGUUGGUGAGGUAACGGCUCACCAAGGCUACGAUGCAUAGGGGGUCUGAGAGGAUGAUCCCCCACACUGGUACUGAGACACGGACCAGACUCCUACGGGAGGCAGCAGUAGGGAAUAUUGGGCAAUGGACGAAAGUCUGACCCAGCCACGCCGCGUGAAGGAUGAAUGCCCUCUGGGUUGUAAACUUCUUUUGUAUGGGAAGAAAUUCCGAACGUGUUCGGAGCUGACGGUACCAUAAGAAUAAGCAUCGGACUAACUCCGUGCCAGCAGCCGCGG
rnacentral:rRNA from 1 species